rnacentral:rRNA from 1 species
GACGAACGCUGGCGGCAUGCCUAACACAUGCAAGUCGAACGAGACCUUCGGGUCUAGUGGCGCACGGGUGCGUACCGCGUGGGAACCUGCCCUUAGGUUCGGUAUAACUCCCCGAAAGGGGUGCUAAUACCGGAUAAUGUCUUCGGACCAAAGAUUUAUCGCCUUUGGAUGGGCCCGCGUUGGAUUAGCUAGUUGGUAGGGUAAAAGCCUACCAAGGCGACGAUCCAUAGCUGGUCUGAGAGGAUGAUCAGCCACACUGGGACUGAGACACGGCCCAGACUCCUACGGGAGGCAGCAGUAGGGAAUAUUAGACAAGGGGCGAAAGCCUGAUCCAGCAAUGCCGCGUGAGUGAUGAAGGCCUUAGGGUUGUAAAGCUCUUUUACCCGGGAUGAUAAUGACAGUACCGGGAGAAUAAGCUCCGGCUAACUCCGUG